CCCCCCACCCCCUCCUUCUCCACCACCUCCUCCUCUUCCCCCUCCCCCCGCCCGCUCUCGCCGCCCGCCCGCCGCUGUCCCCGCGCUGCCAGGCCGGGGCUCAGGCCGCCGUCGACCGCCGCACCUCACCGAGCCGAGGCGAGGCCGGGCCCCGCCGUUGCCGCCGCCGGGCGCUGCGCAGGUUUGGAACGCGCGCCAUUUUGUGAGCGAUAGAAAAUCCAGCCCGGCCAGGAAGCGCCGCGGAUCCGCCCGCCGGGCCGGGCCGGGCCCCCCUCUCCCCGCCGCCCGGAGAAGAAGGCGCGCAGCGGGCAGACCCUGCGAUCGGCACCGGCGCCGCCGCCGGCCGUGCGGGCCCGAGCGCGGCGGGGCGGCCGGACGGACUGCGGAGCGCGCAAGAGGGAGGCGCCGCCGCGCCGGGGCCCCGGGCCGAGGCCGGGGAAAGAAGAAGAAGCGCUCGUUUCUCGCUCUGCCCGCCGCACCAGCAGGAGAGGAAAGGAGAGGCGAGGCCGCCGCCGGGAGGAGCCGGGCCGGAGCGCGGGGCUCGCACGUGUUGUUUCCUGCUGGACUCCCCAUGUCCCCACAACCCCACAGGAUGAUAUGAGACUUGAAAGAAGACGAUGCAUACAGGUAAGCUUAUUUUCAAGAGCUUUCAUAAAGGAAAAUCUACAUUGUUUCCAUUCCUUUAUCUAUAACUCCAAAAUUGUCAUUCCAAACUUAGUAGAAUAUUUAAGAACCUGCAGCAUUUUUAAAAUAUAUUUCUUUGCCCUUUGAAACUUCUUGCAACUGACCAGGAAAGAAAGUGGUUUCUCUGAAUGGAAAUACGAUGUUCAAAGUUUUAUGAAACAAGAGUUUGCUCUUAAGAAUAUUGACUAAGUUUUAGUCUUUUCUUGCUUGUUAUUACCCCAUUUUAAUGGUGCCCACUUACUAGCAGAUAUAUGUCACCUGAUUAGCGAUGUACUAUUUCAAUCUUCUGUUAGCUUUAUUUUAAAGAAAUGGUAUGGAUCCAACUGAGAGAGAUCAUACCAAACAAAAAACUUGGAGUUCAUUAUGCCUAAUCACAUCCUUAUGUUCAGCUAACGUAAAAUUUCUCAAGAAACAAGGAUGAAAUCUUUGAAUGCAUUCAACUCAUUAGACAUUCUUAGAAUUUACGUUUUAGGAAGUUCUUCCAUUUUUUUUCCAAACAAAAUACCUUUAGUUCCAAGUGUACUUGCAGAGUAAAUAGUUUAUUUUUAGUGGUACUGUUUUGUUUGCCAUUUUGAUGUGAAAAAUCAUGAUAAGGAAAAGUAGAAUGAAAGUUAGGUUUUACAAGAGGAUUGGUGCAGUUUAUACCCACAUACCCUUAUUUAAGUCACAGAAGUAUGCAUUGCUUAUAUUUGGAGGCCUAUGACAAAUCUUUCAUUUGCUGGCUCUGCUGUAAAACCUAUGAAUCCUUGAGGCUGGGAAAGAAGCUAGAUACAUUUACGUAUGCGUGCAGAUCAUCUCUUGAUUGACAGUUUUCAGUUGCAUCAGCUGUUCAUGCUUAAACAGCUUUACGGGGUAUAUUUACAUGGAGUAUGUUGGAUUAAGGCCAAGAUGCUGUAAGUGGAUAUUUCAUUCUGUGAAAACUAAGCAUUUGUUCAUUUCAGUUGAACGUGUGUAACUUGUAUGUUGUUAGCUCAAGUAAAACUGGGCCUAAAGAAUUACAAAAUGCAGUGUGGCAAAGAAGAGGAAGGAAAAAUAUUCCAAAGGGUUGAUACUUCAUUUGUUCUAAAUAUAUGUAUGUAUAUAAAGAGGAAUAGCAUUUCAAGUCUUAAAAUUGAAUCUUCACGUCCUUUAAAAUUUGUGGAGCUCUGUCAAGUAGACAGUCAUAGCAACUGAUGAGUUUCUAGGUCAUUUGCUUAUUGCUGUGUAGAUGAAAAUAUAGCCUAACUUAAGUAUUGAGACAGUGGUUUGAAAGUUUAAAAGCAUUCAUGCCACAACUGAAUGGAGAUAUGACAGUACAAAAUAGUAACUUGAAUACCUUAUACUGUUUUAGAGAAUUAAGUUUGGUAUUUUUAUAUGUACACUUUCAGUGUUGGUCAGGAUUUCUGGUGAUGGUGAGCUUGUAGAAUUACAAGCUUAAAGAAUAGAAAUGUAUACAGGAUUUUUAAAUACGAUGUUUUAAUUAGUAACUCUAUCUUUUAAAGCCCAAACUCUUUGUUUAGAAGUCUCAUGAUAAAUACAGAGUAAAAAACAGUAGUAUCUUACAAAAACUUUUGGACUUCUGGUAAGUCACUGAAAUUGGAGCUUGGACAAGUAAGAUUUGUUUGCAAUUUUCUGUUUAUUGGGAGAGCCAAUAUUUGUAUGUUGAAAUUCUGAGAAUAAAUGUGAUUUGCAUGCCUUAAAAUGAGAAAAAUAUACUGUAAUCAUUCUCUAAUACAGUAACAGCAGGAGUCACGAUGACUCUGCUGAUACCAGUCUCAAGUUCAAAGUAGCUCGUGAGAGCUCAGGCAAGAAAUUGAAAGGUUUUGUGGUUACUGAGGAUGAUUCCUUUUACUUUCUUAACACAACUUGGCUUCUGAGAGUGACUGAUCUGGGGUUUCAGAGAUGCUUGAUAAUUUCUAAGCUACCUUUGGCUAAAGAAUGGGAGCCUGUAUAGGGUGAAAAACAGAAACAAAUCUUUGGUUCACUGAGUAUCACUUUAUCUUUCUGGAAAGUGACAUGAAAUUUGGGAUUGUGUUUGUGUAGUUACAAGAGGGAUUGAUCUUGUUUGGAAGCGUGUGUUUUGCAGUUGAUUGCUACAUCUUGUCCUGCACCUGCUAAGCAGAAUAGGACACUGUGGUUGUUUUUACUGUUGUUGCUCUUGUUGCUCCCCUCUCUUUUUUGGGGGGAUGGGUACGGGGAGAAGGUGGGGUGGUAGGGGGUGGCAGUUACCUUUAUAAGAAUGAUUGGAUUUAAAACAAGUAACUUUCUGGCUUGGGCUUUGUCUUUUUUCUUGUUAGCUGUGAUGUAGUAACAUGUAACAAGGAAUAAUUAACUGUCUAAUCCUUAAGUUUCUGAAGAGCCUUUUUUCUUGACCUUUGCAAGAAGACUCGCAUUUCAGUUGAGUGUGUAAGGGACCAGUGUAGAUCUACUAAACUAGAAGUAAGUGUUCAGAAGGAUCCUGUCCUUCAUGCCACAUGCUGAGUAACUGGUAGCAGUUAAUGUUGGGGAAGUAUUGUUCUUGAAAGUAUAAGGGAAAGAAAAGCAGCUGCAUGUCAGGAAUUGCUUUUUGAUGACGAUGAGUUCUGCGUUGAAAUACAAGAAGGAUUUCAUUUCAUACUGGUCUAGACCUUCCACAGAACCAUUGAACAGCAUUGUUCUCAACACUGAGAGCAGCAUGGAAGUAGGGGAACUAUUAUCAGAUUUGUCUUCAAUAUAUAUUUUUUUAUUGUAGUCUAUGCCACUUUUAUAUCUACUUGAACUCAUCCAGAGGUUUGAGAACGUAAAAUUAUUUAAAAGAAGUUUAGAAUGUUUAUUUUAUCUUCAGUUGUGCACUGAUAAUUUAUCAUGUAUUAACUUCAUUUUUGAACAUGUUCAGUCUUUCAUGGGUAAAUUUGCAUGUAAAAAACAUCAAAGUAAUAGUUGUAUCUAACUCUUCUGUUCACUUUGGAAAUAUAUUAAACACAUUAGAAGUUCUGAGAACCAAGCAAGUGAUCAAAAAUGUGAAAAUGCUAUAUUCAAGUAUGAAAAAACAUUGGAAACGAUCACAUUGUUCUUAACUUCACAAAAAUAUUGUUCAUGCUUGAAAAAGGAAAAAAGCCCAUUGGUAGACUACUCAAUAACAAUAGUACCAGAGCAGUGUAAAUAGUAAGUACUUAUAUUGUUGCAUUUUUUUCCCCCUGGUUGCAUUCCUUAUUAUGAUGUAACAAAUGCAGAGUAAAGACUUUGGGAAGUUCUUAGGUUGGGUUGAGCCUUUGCAAGUAAUUGGGUGUUGGUUUUACGUAACAGUGGAAUGAAAACUAGGAGUUGGGCCUUGUCUCAUAUUCAUAAUAUUCUUACUACAGAUUUCAUUGAAUUUGUAGCUGUUUUAAGGAAUACUUUAGAUGUGACUAGAAAAACAAAUGAGUAAAACAAAAACAAAAUCACAAAAAGAACCCCCCAAACCCUGUUGUUGUAUAGUCAAAAGAAAACCAGGUCCAAUAUCGCUGCUCUGCAUUUUGAAGUUCAUCUGUUUUACGUUACCUCAGAGACAGUUUGGUAGAUCUGCUAUAGUUUGUUCAGAACUAUUUUAACAUUUACCAGGAGAUUCCAGAAACUUAUUAGGGCAUCACCUUUUUAUCACAUACCUGUACUUUGCUGAAUUUUGUAGAAAUGAUGGAUGCGUUAUCUGUGCUUCCACUUAGGUAAUUGCAUACCUGCAGUCUCUUUUGUGAGAUGUAUGUGGUGUUGGCAUAAAACCAGAAUUGGAUUAAAAAGGGGCAAAUGCAUGGCCCAUGAUAUAAUUCUGUACUAGUAAGUGCAGUAUGAGCUGGUUGUGUGCUUUCAUUCCAGUUGGACUGAUUCUGUCAGUAGUUCUGUCACAUGCUUAACUGUAUCCUUACAGGCAUUUUUUCUUGGCUGUUCAGGUCUUGACUGCACAGAUUUUCAUUUCAUCCUCCAAAAGGAAGAUGCCAAGAAAAUAAUGUAAGAGACAGGGUUGCUUAUUAGCAGUAUUAGUUUUAAAUACAGAUAGCGCUUUGCAUGAAUUGGAAUGCUUUUAGGGUUAACCACUAUUUUUACAUAGGUAACUCCCCCAGCAGGAGUUGUUUGUGCUGUCUUUCUGGCUGUUAGUUUUCUGCCAGCAAUUGUGAGAAAGCAGUCAGUGGUGAGCUGAACACUACUGCUUACUGAAAAGCAACAGUUAUCGUACGGAAAGUGGAAGUUCUGCUUUUCAGAGAUGGAGUCAUUGACCUCAAUGAAUGAUAACCUUGAAGUCAAGAGACUAGAUUAAUGCUCCACUUUCGCUACCUGAGAUCAGAAAUGUGAAAACAUAGACAGCUAAAGUUAGACUCCUGCAUCCAUAUUUAAAAAGAAGUUGCCUAUUUAAAAAAUAAGUAAGUUUUUCCCCUCCUCCAAAAGUACUUAGUACCUGUGAUAUUAAAGCUUCAGUCUUUCAGCCUCACUCCCUGCUGGAGAGGAAAGAAAUUACAGAGAAGUCUGUUUACCUGUUUCUGGGUUUUGUCAUGGAAGUAUGGCCUCCAUAAAGAACGCUACUUGACUUGUUGAGGAGUAGACCAAAGCAUCUAAAAUAGGAAAUCAUUAGUGGCCUCGAUUUAUAUUUAAUUUGCUUUCUCUUAAGAGAGCAACUUUGAUAAGUUUAAAUUCCUCUAGAAAUUUGUGUUAGUAGUUGCACAGUUUUCCAUCUCUGGAACUUUAAUGUGUACUCUGUAGCAGAAGUAACUGAAAUGCUUUCUUAAGCAGAAAGUUAGGUGUGGUGUUGAUGUGAAUGUGUUGUCGGGCUGUGGAGGUCUUGGAUGGCAGCAGCAUCUGACUUCCUUAGGGCUGUAGGAAAAGGGAGGCAUGCAGAAUUCCAGUUGCUGUGGGUGACCCUCCCUGCCCUGUCUUUGUGGAGCUGAGAUGGCAACGUGGUGGGCCAUCAGGAGAUAGGGGAGCUGCACUUUCAAAAGCCUUAUGUUGCUGCAUAACGCUUCAAAUAAAAGUCUACUGUUUCAGUAUACUGGAAAAUAAUUAAUGCUCAUUUUGUAUCCUGAUUUAUGUGGUCAUCAUCUUGGGGAAAAAAAAAAAAACAGCAACUUUUUUGAGAUAACGUUCAAGAAAAAUUAAGUGAUAAGUAUUGUUUUUCUAAUGAGUAGUUGAGCUUCUGCAGCAAUAUCGUGAGGCUGAAGUUUGUUUCUGUUACUGAUUUUUUUAAUAGCAAAGACUCAUUUAGACUUGAGCAAAUAUUUGAUUUUUGAACAAAAGUUCAAAUUCAGAUUAAGAAAUAUGAUCUUACCCAUUAUAAAAAUUGUUACACAUUUAAGAAGUGUUAACCUUUUUCUGGAAUUUCUGAUUAGCCCACUGGGAACGUCCAAAGUCUCAAGUGAACAUAAUACUUUGAAUUUAAAGUCUUUCUAGGGCCCUUAAAGUCAUCACAUGGGCAGCUGGAGUGAAAAAGCACCUGUGGUGUUGGAGUGUUCGAUGUGUGAAUGAAAAGCAGAAGUUCUCAUGGGUAACACAGUAAUGGGAUGGCUAGGACUGCAUUUAGAGCUGUUAAUAUUCUCUGAGCAUUGUGAUGGAUCAUAUAGGCUUUCUGGCUCAGGUGUGAGCAUUUGUGUCCUACACUUUGUGCUGCAUAACAGACAGAGCUUUUCUGUCAUGUUUUGUGUGCUUGGAGUAGCAAGUUUCUGUCCUGGAGUGAUGCUGUUUGCAUGGCUUGGGUGACUUCUGAGUGACAUUAGGAGUGGUGCACAGGCUCUGAGGUGAUGAGCAGCCUUUUGCAGGAAUAGCAGCAGUUUCUGUACAGAGGAAGCUUCUUUCCUUGAGCUCAGCACAGAACAAUACUCGUUCAGGAACUUGUCCUUCACAGCUUUCUAGGAAUCACGACUGAAGUCUUGAGUUCCUAAACUACAUCCUUGGGUUGAAAUCUUUCAUUGGUACCUGCACACAGCAGUGGGUUUAUUUGGAUUUGCUAUCUGUGGAGACAGAAUACCCUCAGUUCAUCAGUUUUAACUGGCUGUAGCACUAGACAAGCCUUAACAGUAACUUAAAUGUGCACUUCUCCAAUUCCUUAGUGCAUCCUAUUUUAUAAAUUAUGCACUCAGUUUUUAAUGUCCUCUUUCUCCAUCUCAGAACAGUUAUAUUCUUUGGGGGUUAGGUUUGAAGAUAGAGUGAGAGAGGCCCUAGGGUGGCUCUGUUAAGAGCCUGUUCUUAGUAGUACUUGAUAGUUAUUUAAUAGGGAUUCUGUUGAUGCUACUUCAUCAAGUAGGAUACAAGAACUGUGUAAAUACUGUUCAGAAGUCUUGCUGAAGUUGGGCAUUGUGACGUCUUAAAAACUGCUAUUUCUCUGGUACUGCUCAGUCUGCUGCUUCCUAUUCAGUUCAUCUCUUGAUAUAUGGUCAUUUGUACAUCUAUAUUCACUGUUAUUUCAGAGAAUGGUGACCACACACGUUCUGACAGCCUGAUGCAUAACUGUUAUAUCAAGCUGGUAUAAUUUCAGCUUGUGGAACCAAAAUAGGAUACUCUAAGACUUGAUUAUGGAAGUUUUUGUCUAGGUGUGCGUAGGGGAAUAAGUAUUCCUUUCACCAGAUUUUAUGAUGAUGUCUACAUCUUAACGUGGAAUUACCAAUCUGUGCUUGUCAACUUGAAUGUUUCUGUAAGACACCUUAAGGACGUACUUAUCAGACGUGUUUUAUUUCGCUAGGUGCAAUUCAAAUGUAAGCUAAGUGAUCUAAUUAAAACUUUGUGUACUAGGGAAAAUAUUAAACUUGGAAAAUAGCUUGAAUCUGAGAAUGUUUUCAUUCUCACGUUUUCAUCUUGACGCUCUAUUUUUUUACAUAUUUGUUGCUAAACUGUUACAAACAACGAUGAAAUAAGAAAGCAAGAAACAAUCGUAUGUUUUUAUGAAUGGCGGUGAGACAUGAAAUGUGUUGGCUUGACCUUUCAGUUAUCCUGGCAAUGGAGUCAGUGGAUAAUUCGCAGCACAACCUAUAUUGAUCAGCUGAAAUGACAUUCUCUGGCCUCGUUUCUGAUGUCCAGCACUCAUUGAUACUUGCAUCUAAUUUCCAUUGACAUUUUUGUGAGUUAAGUACCUAAAUAUCUCUGCAGAUCUAGAUUUCUUUUUGUAGUGCAGUCAGGGACAGUUCUCUACCAUAUCUGUUAUAAAGAUAAAACAGGUGGUAGCAGCUCUCUUUCAGACAUGGAAGAGAGAUUUGCUCUUGAUUUCUACCUUGCCUGUCCCUAGCCAUGGCAAUUAUCAGUGCUUGUGUUAGUUCUUCCAUUUUCUUUGUUUUGUUUUUUUUUAAUCCCAUCUUCCUGGUCUUUAAGAUUUUGCUUGUAAUACAAAUAGCUACUAUGGGCUCUCUCAUGGUUAUAGCUUUUGCUAUAACAUUUUUCUAUAUUCUUAUGUUACCUUUCUGAAGAAAUACAGCAAAUCUUAAAGCAGGAAAAAAAAAUAUAAACUGAAUUAUAUUUCGUUGUCUUCUGAAUCCGACAAAGUUUGGUACGCAGUCCAAUGCUAUCACCUUGUCUUACAGAAUACUUUCUAACAUCUUAGAAUUUCUGUACUUGUGCAUCUUGCCUACUUGAGGUCAGUACCUUGCACUUGUUUACACUACCUCCUGAAUAUAAGGAGAACCAAGGUAUGCGCCCUCUAGGAAUUACUGUAGAAGGAUCAGGUUUACAAAGGUAGGUGAACUUGAUUUAAUUCUUACCUGGUUUCUGGACAAAAGCAGUGUUUUAUUUGGUUAUGCAGGCAGUAAAGCAUUUGAGUCGAGAAGAAGCAUUAUAAUGCUGUGAUUAUUGUCCACAGUUCAUUACUUUUUCACCAUUCCAGUGGAGUAAAUAACCCCUUCUGAUGAUACACGUAGAUCUCUCCACAGGCAGCAGCAAUUACAGAAGUACAAUAAGUGGGCUGAAUACAAACGUAUUUUGAUGGAUUAUUCUCUUCUGAAUGCUAGCUUAGUGUAGGUAGUUCCAUUCAUCUUUGCAAGGGACACUGAAUAUAUCUAGGUGGUGUGAAUUGACACUGCAAGUUUUUAUAUACUACUAAAAGUAUAGAAUCAUAGAAUUACUCAAGUUGGAAAGGACCUCAAAGAUCAUCAAGUCCAACCACAAGUAUAACAUAACCACAAGUAUAUAUGCUUCAAUCUGUCUUAUACUAGUGCAAGUUCUACUAAUGUCUCAGAAAUGAUCAGAUCUCUUUAUGCAAAAUAGAUCAAAUGUGAGAAUGAUAAGAGAGAUCUUUAUGAAUCUGUGGAAUAUUGUCUUACACAUAGUAUUACAUCAGUGCUCUUAAUAAGCUAAACUAGGUAAACAUAUUUGCUGUCCACUAGCAAAGAGGGUUGUGCUACCUUGGAAUACAAAGCUAAGUUUGCCAUUUGAAAUGUUUCACUUGGUAAAGUUUAUCAAAACAUCUGUGGAAAAACAACAGAUCUCCAUCAUAUUUUUAUUUAUAAUUUUAUUUUAGGUGAUGUUUCUUAUUUUUAUCUUGUUUUUUUUUAAAGUGAGCAGUAUGAUAAUUCCUUCAAGGUUCUAAAAUAAAACAUUACUUUUGUAAUCGAUUUACUCUUGUCUCUUGAAAGUAAGUUAUACAUUUCUAAACUUUUCUGUUGUAAAAUUAAGUAAUUGUUAUACAGUGCUGAGUAAUUCUUGGAGACUUCUCUGAGUAAAAUGAUAUUUCCGUACCAUAUAGGGUGUUUGCUGUCAGAAUAUGUUGUACAAAAUCUAGUCUUUCUUUUAAGCUGAACGUUCACAUCUCUGAAGUUUUCUCCAAAAUGUAGUCAUUAAAAAUUGCCACAUUGAGAUGUCAAUGGAGAACUUUGGCUCUGCUGUUAAGAUGAUUCUGGCGCAUAACUGAAAAAGAUAGAAGGUAGUCUUAUGUAGUUGAGUUGAGACUAGUUUGUGAAGUAUGUAUUUAGUGUGCAUGUAUAUAUCCUGUGCUUGGCGAUCCUCAUUAUCAACUAAUUGUUCUUGCCCUUUGAUCUCACUAUGCAGUUGUUUGAUUAGAGCAUUAGCUUCCUUUGAAGCAAGAGCCUUGCAAAGAAUCAGAUUGAUUUGGCCAAAGUCUUCAAGCAAACAGGGCAGUUUUAAAUGAUAGCUUCUGACGUGUCUUCCUCCUUUGCACCCUGAUGUUUUUUUUUAAAAACUAAACACACAUAUACGUAUGUAAAACAUUCACACUUGAACCUUUUCUGAAUUUUUUUCUUUUUUUUUCCUGCCAUUUUCACUAUUUGGAAGGAGAUUUUUCUCAGAACAGCAAGACACAGUAUCUGUAAAGUACGCCAAAAGAGGUGCAAGAGCAGAUGUAGUCAGAAGAGAUUUGAGAAUAACAUUUUACAGACAAAAAUGCCCACUCCUCUGUUAGUAAAUUGAAUGUUCCCAGUCACUGAAGCUGAUCGCAUGGAACAGCCCACAUCUGUGUGAGUUGACUGUCCCAGCCUGUAAAACUGGGUGGCUGCCUGAAAGCUUCAUAUUGGGAAUAGUUCCUGGAACAUGGUGAUUGCUGCAUGUUCCCAAGAGUUCCUGGGUAAGAGUGCUAGUUGGAACGGAUACUACGUAUGCAGAUUUUAGUCCUGUUCUUGGGCGCCUUCCUUGGCCCUACUGAAUGCACUAGUAUAGAUGUACACAGCUGUUAGUUCCUUGUGUAUGAAGCUAUGAAGUCCACUAUAACCUACUAGUUCUUAAAGAAGGACUGGUAGAAUUCUUUUUCCUUUUCCUUUGGACUUACUGUCUUGGAAGGAUAUUUCUUGGUCAAAACAAAGAAAAUGCUGUUGUUCUACCUUUUGCUAUGUAUAUAUAGGAUGUAUAUAAAUACAAAUGAAUGUAACCUGUUUUUUUUUGUUUUUUUUUUUUUUUUUUUUUUUUUUUGACCUGGAGGUGCAGAAAUACUCCUUUGCUUCAUUCUCAAUUACAAAGCUCAAGAGAAUUUUGUGUUGCUUUCCUGCAGGAUUUCUAUCUUAUUUUUUAUUUUUGUGUUGUAUUUGUUUUUGUUUCCCUCCAUCUUCUGGCAGCUUUUAUCUGCAAAGUUAUUCUUAUUCUAUGGCUUAGGCUGAGUUUAUGAACUUGAUGGGUCUUCAUGACUUUUCUUCUGAAUAAAAGAGAUUUUCCUCAGGAAAAGAAGCUAUUUCACACUCAAAUCAGUUGGUGGAUUCUGCAACUUUAGUUUAGAAUGCUGUGUUCAGCUUUGUAUUCCUACAAAUAUAUUGGUAGCAAAAGGCUCCAGGCAGCAACUGCUUGUAUCUUGAGAAAGGCAAAAAUUAGUUGUGUUUUUUGUUUGUUUGUUUUUUUCCUCUUUAUGUCUGGAGGCAUGUGGAGCUCCAGGGGAAGGCAAGUAGUGAAACUUCAUUCUUUCUUGGGAGAAAUCCAGACGCUAUCGGCUGCCAUCCAACUGCAAAAAUUCUGACACUCUGUUCGGAAAAAGUGCCACCAAAAUGUAGCUAGCUGAAUAUUCCACUUUUUCAAUAGAAGGCAGUUUCCUUAAAUAGAAUUUGGGAGCUAACUUCGUCUACAGCAAAGAUUUGGGUUAAAAACACUGCCAGAUCUACAGUGACGUCUCUAUACUUGAAGUCUUUCACUCCAGCUCCAGGUAUUCAGCUCAAGUCCAUAUUAAGAAAGCUCAGGAAUAAUUGGUUUCCUGUAACUGUGCAAUCUAUAGCCUGUAUAACUUUAAUAAUAAAAAAAAACUUAUUUCUUCAGAAAAGAUAGAAGUUGUUGUUAAGAGGACAGAACAGAAUUCUUGCCUUGCUCGUGAUUUACAUCCUGGUUAUGUUUUAAGAAAUUUAUAAUACAGUUUUAUUUUACUUUGAAUCACGUUUCCGCCCCUCCUUCCCUUCCCCAACGCUUUACUAGCAAUAUAUUUUAGCCAUCAAAAAUUCACCUUAUCCUUGAUAACAGAUUACCAAUAGCUUUGUCUUUCUAAGAAGCUGCAGUAAGCCAUUAGGAAGAUGGUUAAUCUCCCUCUUAUCUAAACCUUUUGAUCAAUUUAGAGAGAAGUGAAUUGCUGUCUUAUAAGCAAGUCUGUGUAGCAGGCUACUUAGACAAAGGGAUUUGGUUUCCAUUCAAGAUUAGAUUCACGAUCACUUAUCUAAUGAAUCAGCUGAAUUUUCAUUGAAUACCGGGUAAUUAGACAGGUAUUGCACCCUUUGGAUUAAUGGGACCUUUCUUUCCUUAUCUAAGUCCUCUCAGAAAUAUAAACUAUCUGCGGGAGUUGAUCAGUUCUUGAAAAAGAAGAAAUGCCUUGGAAAAUCAUUAGAAGCGUGGACACAUAGGCAUAUAUUUGUAUUCCUAUUCAAGAACUUUCCAAAAGCCUUGUUUGUACAACUACACAUCUUUGAUAACCAAAUGAUAAAGUUCCAUACUAUUUGAGUAGGAAUUUUGGUCAGUGUUGAGAAUGUCUAAAAUUCUAUUGCAUCUGUGAAAAUACAUUUGCUUGGUUUCUUAAAAAUGACAGUAGCUCUGUUGUCUUUGAUACAGAAAGAUAAAAGGAUGUCCAGUGAGAGAUAAGUGGACAGGUGGAGGUGACUUUAUUUGGUCUAAUUGUUAAGUUUCUCUACAGUGGUAUUUAAUAUAAAGUUUGCUUUCUUAAUUGGCACCCAUUAGCCCAGACGCAUUUGCUUAUUUUAUUAUUACUUAUCCAUGUCAAGCUUAGAUAUUUGAGCAUUUUUUCCUUUAUGCCAUCAAUAUAAGCUUGUUUACUGAAACUUCUUGACUGUGGAUUUCAGUAAAUAAAACAAUUCUAGCUUCCCACUGCAGAGUUCUUUUUCUGUUCCCUCCUCAAAGACAAUAUCAAAAACUUUGCAAUCUGAAGAUGAAAAUUUCUACAUAGAGUAGAAAAAGCUGCAGGAGCCUAUUGGGUCACAUGCUUGUGUGGAGAAGGUCAUCCCAUGACAAGAACGUGUGCUGACUCCUUUUGGGUGAUGAGCACAGUCUAGGUCAGUCUGUUGUCUGUUGGAACUUUAAAAUCUAGGGAAGUUAGGAGGACCAGUAAGUUUCAUGAUUCUCUCCACACAUCACUAUUUCUAGCCUCCGAAUCAAGCACACUGAUAACUGUCUUUAUCUUCUGUCUGUUGAGAAGGAGUAGUUGCCUCCUGAUCAUUAGUGGGCACUGUGCCCAGGAGCAAAUCUGUUUUGCUUUGUUGUCAGCGGGUUAAUCUCCCUUUCUCUUGCAAGAUGUCCCCCAUGUUUUUCAGGCCUGUUGAGAAUUCAGGAGACUUUCACCAUAACAUCAUAUCUGCGAGUAUGGUAGGGUUGGACCUCUUUUAAGAUAAACAGCGUGUGAACAAAAUUUCAGUCUCUUUAGCUAAACUGGGCUAACUUGAUGACAGUUUCUGUGUAUAUAGAAAACACCAUGCUGUGACUAAAUAUGAAUGUGGUUAAUGGUUCACUACAGAGGCCUUCACUUCCCUUGAAAAUCUAUAGAAGUGGAGCUGACUGGGGACUUCACUGCUGGUAGGAAUUUGUUUCUUAUGCUCAAGAGGAUGACUUUGGGAUGUGCUUAUGUAGGUAGACAGUUCAGGUUGUGUUAUUCUUUGUCUUCUCUACAGUUGUGCAGCCCACAGUGAAAUAAUUACAUCUAAGGAAUGUUGUCUCUGUCCUCAGUCCUUCUAAUACUGGCUGCCCGUCAUCAGUCUCUGCCCAGCUGUACUUUUGUAGCAUAAGUUUAACUGUUGCUGACAUCUUGAAACACAGGAUUAUUGGCUAUUCAGUUCCACUAGUACAGUCCCAGUCUGAAGAGUACAAUGUUCCUUCUCGCAAAUAAUGGCAAAGGCAGUUUUGCCACUUCUGUCCACUCUCUUUAGUUCCUAGACAUAUUGCAUACAAAAUCUCCACUUACCCUUUUUGUGGUGCUGAGGAAGAGAGAAAAAGGGCAACUUCUCUGUGGUGUCUUCUGUUUGUACAAAAGAGGAGUUUGUGAAGUUGUUAAUAACUGCAGUGUUUCUGCAAAGUCCUACAGAAGUUUUCAAGAGCCUGACUGAGACUGACAUUUUGAAACAGUUUUGUGCUGGCUAGUACAGUGAUGCCAGUGAACAACACCGUACUGCUUUCAACCCAGAUGCUUUGGCAAAUAUCAGCUUCAUGUGUUGCUGCUGCUUGGCAUAAAGGCUGAUGCUACAAAGCAGUAGCAGGUGGUUUGGAUUUUUUUCUGCUCAUUUUGCACCAACUUCCUUUUUUUUUUUUUCUUUGCAGUGGCUUUGGAGCAUGAUAAAUAAUAUUGGUGUGUUGUUUUUCUUUCUUUCUUUUUUUUUUUUUCCUGGUAAGGAUUUUAAGCUCUUUACAUGCACUUGGCAAAAGUUUUGCUCAAUGGCAGUGUACUGACUAGGGAUACUAAGUUACCCAGGUCUCAUUUUCCUUUGUCGAUGUCUUAUAGAUGACAGGGUACGAGGCUUUGAAUAUAUUUUCCCCCCAAAAAUUAAUCAUGGUAGUAACAGGAAGUCCUAUUACUUUGAAGAUUGUUUUGUAAUCUGAUUUCUGAUCCUGCUGUCAGUAACGUUCCUUCUGCACCCCUUUCCAAGCAUCUUUUUCCACAAAAGAUGAAUUUAGCCAGCAGUCUGGUGCCUGAUUUUUUUUUUUUUCAGUCAUGAGAAGGUGGACACUUCAAACUGCUUCCCUCUUACCUGAACAUCUACUUGCUACAGGAGCUGUUAAGAUGCACGUCUCCAAGAGCACGUUUGCCAAAGUCCUCACGUGUGGUAGCUGCCUACUAUCUAUGCAGCUGAAUGUUUUGUCAGCAAAUGGUUAUAUAUGCCCAUUCAUUCCAUAGUGCAUGGUAUGCAUAGCUGAAGAGAUAAUGUGCCUUAUUGCAGUACUUCUUGGAUUAGAAAGUUUCCCAUUAGAAAGGAAUUAGAAAGAUG
rnacentral:lncRNA from 1 species